rnacentral:rRNA from 1 species
CCUACGGGACGCAGCAGUCGGGAAUAUUGCGCAAUGGAGGAAACUCUGACGCAGUGACGCCGCGUAUAGGAAGAAGGUUUUCGGAUUGUAAACUAUUGUCGAUAGGGAAGAAAAAAGACUGUACCUAUCAAGAAAGCUCCGGCUAACUACGUGCCAGCAGCCGCGGUAAUACGUAGGGGGCAAGCGUUAUCCGGAUUUACUGGGUGUAAAGGGAGCGUAGACGGCGAAGAAAGUCUGAAGUGAAAGCCCGCGGCUUAACCGCGGAACUGCUUUGGAAACUUUUUUGCUGGAGUACCGGAGAGGUA